GCAAUAUUUACACUAUUGAAGGCACCUGAGAUGUCAAAAAAUACAGACAAAAGAUAUUGAUUACUUGCUAAACAUUGAUGCGCAUCAAGCUGUAACUGCGCUAUACUCUCCCUAGAAGACCGACCUUUGCGAAAACCAAACUGAUUAUUAGGCAAAAGACAAUUUUGUUCUAUAAAGAACUCGAGACGUUGUUUUAGAAGCUGCUCAAAUAUCUUCCCAACACAAGACGUGAGAGCUAUAGGUCUAUAAGAGUCAGCAUUUAAAACUGCUUCUGUACACCUCUGAUUCCACCAAGGCGACCAAGGAUAUUUAAAAGAUUUUUGUGAACAAGAACUAGUAGCAUUAUUACUAUUAGAACUUUUGGAAAACAGACAGCUAGGGAUUGACUGCUUGGCAGCAGAAAGUAAAAUAUUACAAAAGGAAUUAAAAGCAUCUAUUGAAGAUAAAGUGUCAAAUUUAACAUCAUCCAAAUAAGAAACAACUAAGUUACUAUACAUAUUCCAAUUCACCUGCUUAUAAUUAGGGGAGAUGAUAACUACUGCCCAGAGGACUGUCAAUAACUGACCAGUCACAUAAAAGAGCCAAAGAUGGAGUUACCAAAGUCAAGUCAAGAGCAUUAGGACGCCAAGAUGGAGAUCCUAUUGUGGUAGCUUGACCAUUAUUCAGAAUAACAAGACCAUUCUCAUCUAUAACCUCUAAAACAUCUUUACCUCGAGGCAAUGUAUCAACACAUCCCCACAACAUGUGAUGAGCAUUGAAAUCACCUGCAAAUAUCAUUGGCUCUGGAAUGGACUUAAUUAAACUGUUUAAAUUGUUUUUAUUAAAUGGAGGAUUUGAAUUGGAAGGACUGUAAAAACUCACAAUACUCAGUUCUUUGUUAUUAAUUUUAAUUUUAAUGCAAACAUUUUGUAGAGCACUAUCAAAAUAUGUAUUUAUGUUAGAAAAUGUGAUAUUAAUAUGAAUAAAAAUUGCUACACCAUUGUGUUUAUUACCACAAUCAUUCCUUAUUGUGUUAUAGCCUUUUAUUAAAAAAUACUGAUGUGGUUUUAACCAAGUUUCCGAAAUUAUAGCAAUAUGGAUAUGAUUUUCAUAUAAAAACCUUGUAAAAAUAAGCCUAUUACUAAUAAUACUUUGAGCGUUCCACUGCACUAUAUUCAAUGUAUCCAUAAUAACAAUUAACUAGAUGUCUUUUUUCUAAAAGUGUUAUUCAGAAUUUCCUUAAUACUAUUUGAAUUUAUAGUUAACUUAUCUUUAUUUGUACAAAUUUGUAAAACUGCUUCAACCAAGAGGUUCAUAAAUUUGUCAGAUUUUAUAAGAUUGCUCAGGUGUGUGUCAAUAUACUUUGAGUUUAAUUGAGGGAAAGCAGAUUCAUUGAAGAGAUCUGAGUAUCUAACACUACGGGACUUCACUUUGUUUUCUUCAAUUUUUUGUUUUUUCAGAGGACAGGUAGAUGAGAUAGCUAUGUGAUCUCCACCACAGUUGGCACAUUUUGUUAAAGUUUUUGGACACAUUUUAAAAUUGUGAUUGUCAGAACAUAUGGAACAAACUUCAUUGUUUCUACAAAAUUUAGCAAUAUGGCCAAAUUUCAUACAGCGUAGACACUGUUUAAUAGGGGGUACAUAUACAUUAACCUCAUGCCUCCAGUGAUCAAGUGUUACAUACUCAGGUAACAACGUUGAUGCAAAUGUGACUGCAACAGUUUGCGUUGGAACAAAGGAGACAACACCCUGUGGGUCCUUUACUCGCCGCAUGAACCUUCUCACAGCAAUAACUUUUUUACUCGAUGCAAUUAAUUGAUGAAUUUUUUUGUUGGAGUAAUCAGUGGGAACAGAAGUAAGAACUCCAGUGACCUCCGUUUCAGAAGCCGGAAUUGAGGCAACCAUCUCCAACUCGCUAAGUAACUUUUCAUUUU